UACGGAGGGUGCAAGCGUUGCUCGGAAUUAUUGGGCGUAAAGGGUAUGUAGGUGGUCUCAUUUGUCUGGGGUGAAAGCCUUGAGCUUAACUCAAGAAGUGCCCCAGAAACGGUGAGACUGGAGUCCUGGAGAGGGUCGUGGAAUUCCCGGUGUAGCGGUGAAAUGCGUAGAGAUCGGGAGGAACACCAGAGGCGAAGGCGGCGACCUGGACAGGCACUGACACUCAAAUACGAAAGCGUGGGGAGCAAACAGG
rnacentral:rRNA from 1 species